UGCACACUAUAAGUGGCUCUGCGUUCGUUUCGCACAGACUCCACCACAUGAAUUAAUCCUCAAGGCUAACUUUAACGAAGCCGUUACCUACAGCCCCACGACGGAUCAGCUAGCUUUUAAUUAUGAGCUGAGCGAGGAUCCCCACCUCCCCUUUUCUUGAUUGACUUCUCCAAAGUUAACUUAUCAGAUAUGGGACAAAGCUUCAAAAAGUGGAGAUCAAAGACGUCUCAUCUCGGCCAUGCCGCUUUUUACUGUACUAGUACUUUGUAAGUUCUGCCAAUCGCAGAAUCGACUAAGCGCC
rnacentral:sRNA from 1 species